ACGCCGAGCCAGCAGGAGUGGAAGCGAAGUCUCUUGUAAGCCACGGGACUCAUUUGCUGGCUUUAGCAAAUCCAUGGAUUCAUUUCUUUUACUGGUCCUGUCUCCGGGUGUACCAGGACUAUUCACCACAGGUGAACAACUAAUGGAAUCCAGUGCAAUGAACAAGUGUUUGGGGCUCCUCAUCUCCUUUUUUCUCAAACUUCAACUUGGCUCUUCAAAAUAACAUAAUUAAGACAGCAGCCCCGGUUCUGGAAGGCCUUGAAGACAAAAUGACACUUCCUUUUGAGAGCAUGAUGGGUAGGGGGAGAAGUCACCCUGUAUAUUCAGGCAAAUACUGCAGAAAGCCUGUCAUGGCUUGGCUAUGGUAUGACAGUAAGUAGGUGCGUGGUGGAAGCAGGAUUUGCACCCAGGUCUGUCUGGUGCCGGAGCCCAUGCACAUGCAGGCCCACGGCCAUCCCCAGCAUUAAUAGGAGGCAUUCAG